rnacentral:rRNA from 1 species
CUACGGGUGGCUCCAGUGAGGAAUAUUGCACAAUGGGGGGAACCCUGAUGCAGCAACGCCGCGUGGAGGAUGACGCAUCUCGGUGUGUAAACUCCUUUUAUAUGUCAAGAAAAUGACGGUAGCAUAUGAAUAAGCACCGGCUAACUCCGUGCCAGCAGCCGCGGUAAUACGGAGGGUGCAAGCGUUACUCGGAAUCACUGGGCGUAAAGGACGCGUAGGCGGGUUGGAAAGUCAGGUGUGAAAUCCUACAGCUUAACUGUAGCACUGCACUUGAAACUUCUAAUCUAGAGUAUGGGAGGGGGAGAUGGAAUUAGUGGUGUAGGGGUAAAAUCCGUAGAUAUCACUAGGAAUACCUAAAGCGAAGGCGAUCUCCUGGAACAUUACUGACGCUAAGGCGUGAAAGCGUGGGGAGCAAACAGGAUUAGAUACCCCAGUAGUC